UUUUUAUAGUGUAACUAAACAUAUUACAUUUUCACUGU
rnacentral:tRNA from 1 species